UAAGACGAACCGUGCGAACGUUGUUCGGAAUCACUGGGCUUAAAGGGCGCGUAGGCGGGCUGCCAAGUCCGGGGUGAAAUCUUUCGGCUCAACCGGAAAAGUGCCUCGGAUACUGGUGGCCUUGAGGGAGGUAGGGGUAUGUGGAACUUCCGGUGGAGCGGUGAAAUGCGUUGAUAUCGGAAGGAACGCCGGUGGCGAAAGCGACGUACUGGACCUCUUCUGACGCUGAGGCGCGAAAGCUAGGGGAGCGAACGGGAUUAGAUACCCCGGUAGUCCUAGCCCUAAACGUUGGGUACUAGGUAGUGGACUUAACAUGGGUUCACUGCCGAAGCAAAAGUGGUAAGUACCCCGCCUGGGGAGUAUGGUCGCAAGGCUG
rnacentral:rRNA from 1 species